UACGUAGGGUGCGAGCGUUAAUCGGAAUUACUGGGCGUAAAGCGUGCGCAGGCGGUUUUGUAAGCCAGAUGUGAAAUCCCCGGGCUUAACCUGGGAAUGGCAUGGGAAACUGGCGGGCUGGAGUGUGGCAGAGGGGGGUGGAAUUCCGCGUGUAGCAGUGAAAUGCGUAGAGAUGCGGAGGAACACCGAUGGCGAAGGCAGCCCCCUGGGCUAACACUGACGCUCAGGCACGAAAGCGUGGGGAGCAAACAGG
rnacentral:rRNA from 1 species